rnacentral:rRNA from 1 species
UACGUAGGGUGCAAGCGUUAAUCGGAAUUACUGGGCGUAAAGCGUGCGCAGGCGGCUUUGCAAGACAGAUGUGAAAUCCCCCGGGCUAACCUGGGAACUGCAUUUGUGACUGCAUGCUGGAGUGCGGGCAGAGGGGGGAUGGAAUUCCGCGUGUAGCAGUGAAAUGCGUAGAGAUCCGGAGGAACGACCGACGGCCGAGG